AAUUGUCUUAUGCGCAUUUUGGUGAUUCAAAAACUGCUCAUAACGCAUAAAUCCAUUAAAUAAUUACUAUAGGUGUAGGUAUUGGGUAGAUCGAGAGUUGAAAAAUUUAAUAUUAAAAGUAAAAAUAAAAAUGGAAAAUCAAAUUGAAUCGACUCUUAAAAUUAUCCGGGACAUAGAAGCGAAAUUAGAUCAACUAAAAAGGAUUUGCGACACGUUGACUCAAUUGAGAGUGCAAGUAGCGCUCAUGCAAUCGGAGAUCACGAGAGUGAUAGAUGCCCACUCGUGGGCAGAGGUGUCUCAACUCAUUGGACUCUUCGGAAGAAUAUAUAAUGGAGAAGAAGGAGGAUCGGAGAAGAAUCCUUAGAGAUUUAGUUGAUAGAAGAAUACAUAGAUAUAGAUAACAAUA